rnacentral:lncRNA from 1 species
GAGUCCGGCGGACGAAGUUGGCCAGCCCCACCCCCCAAGGCUAUAGCCCCACCCGUUUUUGUGGCCUUUUUACGCAGGACGAAUUUGGCGCCCCGGCCUUCGAGCGGUUAUUUUUAGGCGCGGCUGUUCCCGCGGCCUAUUUUUGGCACACGGAGGGGCCUUGCAAAGUCUCGCGCCAUUCCGAGUCCGGCAGACAAAGUUGGCCGGCCCCACCCCCCAAGGCUAUAGCCCACCCGUUUUUGUGGCCUUUUUCCGCUGGACGAACUUAGCGCCCCGGCCUUCGGGCGGUUAUUUUUGGGUGCGUCUGUGCCCGCGGCCUAUUUUUGGCACACGGAGGUACCUCACAAUGUCUCGCGCCAUUCCGAGUCCGGCGGACUAAGUUGGCCAGCCCCACCCCCCAAGGCUACAGUCCACCCGUUUUUGUGGCCUUUUUCCGCUGGACGAACUUGGCGCCCCGACCUUCGGGCCGUUAUUUGUGGGCGCGGCUGUGCCGCGGCCUAUUUUUGGCACACGGAAGCCGCUCGCAAAGUCUCGCGCCAUUCCAAGUCCGGCGGACGAAGUUGGCCGGCCCCACCCCGCAAGGCUAUAGCCCACCCGUUUUUGUGGCCUUUUUCCGCUGGACGAACUUUGCGCCCCAGCCUUCGGGCGGUUAUUUUUUAGCGCGGCUGUGCCCUCAGCCUUUUUUGGCACACGGAGGCGCCUCGUAAAGUCUCACGCCAUUCUGAGUCCGGCGGACGAAGUUGGCCAGCCCCACCCCCCAACGGUAUAGCCCACCCGUUUUUGUGGCCUUUUUACGCAGGACGAACUUGGCGCCCCGGCCUUCGAGCAGUUAUUUUUGGGUACGGCUGCGCCCGCGUCCUAUUUUUGGCACACGGAGGGGCCUCGCAAAGUCUCGCGCCAUUCCGAGUCCGGCGGACGAAGUUGGCCGGCCCCACCCCCCAAGGCUAUAGCCCACCCGUUUUUGUGGCCUUUUUCCGCUGGACGAACUUAGCGCCCCGGCCUUCGGGCGGUUAUUUUUGGGCGCGUCUGUGCCCGCAGCCUAUUUUUGGCACACCCAGGCGCCUCGCAAAGUCUCGCGCCAUUCCGAGUCCGGCGGACCAAGUUGGCCGGCCCCACCCCCCAAGGCUAUAGCCCACCCGUUUUUGUGGCCUUUUUCCGCUGGACGAACUUGGCGCCCCGGCCUUCGGGCGGUUAUUUUUGAGCGCGGUUUUGCCGCGGCUUAUUUUUGGCACACGGAAGCCGGUCGCAAAGUCUCGCGUCAUUCCGAGUCUGGCGGACGAAGUGGGCAAGCCCCACCCCCCAAGGCUAUAGCCCACCCGUUUUUGUGGCCUUUUUACGCAGGACGAACUUGGCGCCCCAGCCUUCGAGCGGUUAUUUUUGGGCGCGGCUGUGCCCGCGGCCUAUUUUUAGCACACAGAGGGGCCUCGCAAAGUCUCGCGCCAUUCCGAGUCCGGCGGACGAAGUGGGCCAGCCCCACCCCCCAAGGCUAUAGCCCACCCGUUUUUGUGGCCUUUUUCCGCUGGACGAACUUGGCGCCCCAACCUUCGGGCGGUUAUUUUUGGGCGCGGCUGUUCCCAUGGCCUAUUUUUGGCACACGGAGGCGCCUCACAACGUCUCGCGCCAUUCCGAGUCCGGCGGACGAAGUUGGCCAGCCCCACCCCCCACGGUUAUAGCCCACCCGUUUUUAUGGCCUUUUUCCGCUGGACGAACUUGGCGCCCCGGCCUUCGGGCGGUUAUUUUUGGGCGCAGCUGUGCCCGCGGCCUAUUUUUGGCACACGGAGUCGCCUCGCAAAGUAUCGCACCAAUCCGAGUCCGGCGGACGAGGUGGGCCAGCCCCACCCCCCAAGGCUAUAGCCCACCCGUUUUUGUGGCCUUUUUCCGCUGGACGAACUUGGCGCCCCAACCUUCGGGCGGUUAUUUUUGGGCGCGGCUGUUCCCGUGGCCUAUUUUUGGCACAAGGAGGUGCCUCGCAAAGUCUCGCACCAUUCCUAGUCCGGCGGACGAAGUUGAGCAGCCCCACCCCCCACGGCUAUAGCCCACCCGUUUUUAUGGCCUUUUUCCGCUGGACGAACUUGGCGUCCCGGCCUUCAGGCGGUUAUUUUUGGGCGCAACUGUGCCCGCGGCCUAUUUUUGGCACACGGAGGGACCUCGGAAUGUCUCGCGCCAUUCCGAGUCCGGCGGACGAAGUUGGCCAGCCCCUCCCCCCAAGGCUAUUGCCCACCCGUUUUUGUGGGUUUUUUCCGCGGGACGAACUUGGCGCCCCGGCCUUCGGGCGGUUAGUUUUGGGCGCGGCUGUGCCCAAGGCCUAUUUUUGGCACACGGAGGCACCUCGCAAAGGCUCGCGUAAUUCCGAGUCCGGCGGACUAAGUUGGCCAGCCCCACCCCCCAAGGCUAUAGCCCACCCGUUUUUGUGGGCUUUUUCCGCUGGACGAACUUGGCGCCCCGGCCUUCGGCCGGUUAUUUUUGGGCGUGGCUGUGCCCGCGGCCUAUGUUUGGUAUACGGAGAUGCCUCGCAAAGUAUCACGCCAAUCCGAGUCCGGCGGACGAAGUUGGCCAGCCCCACCCCCCAAGGCUGUAGCCCUCCCGUUUUUGUGGGCUUUUUCCGCUGGACGAACUUGGCGCCCCGGCCUUCGGGCGGUUACUUUUGGGUGUGGCUGUGCCCGCGGCCUAUUUUUGGCACACGGAGUCGCCUCGCAAAGUAUCGCGCCAAUCCGAGUCCGGCGGACGAAGUUGGCCAGUCCCACCCCCCAAGGCUAUCGCCCACCCGUUUUUGUGGGCUUUUUCCGCUGGACGAACGUGGCGCCCCGGCCUUCGGGGGGUUAUUUUUGGGCACGGCUGUGCCUGCGGCCUAUUUUUGGCACACGGAGGCACCUCGAAAUGUUUCGCGCCAUUCCGAGCCCAGCAGAUGAAGUUGGCCAGCCCCACCCCCCAAGGCUAUAGCCCACCCGUUUUUGNNNNNNNNNNNNNNNNNNNNNNNNNNNNNNNNNNNNNNNNNNNNNNNNNNNNNNNNNNNNNNNNNNNNNNNNNNNNNNNNNNNNNNNNNNNNNNNNNNNNNNNNNNNNNNNNNNNNNNNNNNNNNNNNNNNNNNNNAGUUGGCCAGCCCCACCCCCCAAGGCUAUAGCCCACCUGUUUUUGUGGGAUUUUCCGCUGGACGAACUUGGCGCCCCGGCCUUCGGGCGGUUAUUUUUCCGCGCGGCUGUGCCCGCGGCCUAUUUUUUGCACAUGGAGGCGCCUCGCAAAGUUUCGCGCCAUUCCGAGUGCAGCGGAUGAAGUUGGCCAGCCCCACCCCCCAAGGCUAUAGCCCACCCGUUUUUGGGGCCUUUUUCCGCUGGACGAACUUGGCACCCCGGCCUUCGGGCGGUUAUUUUUGGGCGCGGCUGUGCCCGCGGCCUAUUUUUGGCACAUGGAGGCACCUCACAAAGUCUCGCGGCAUUCCGAGUCCGGCGGACGAAGUUGGCCAGCCCCACCCCCCAAGGCUAUAGCCCACCCGUUUUUGUGGCCUUUUUCCGCUGGACGAACUCGGCGACCCGGCCUUCGCGCGGUUAAUUUUGGGCGCGGCUCUUCCCGCGGCCUAUUUUUGGCACACGGAGUCGCCUCGCAAAGUUUCGCGCCAAUCCGAGUCCGGCGGACGAAGUUGGUCAGCCCCACCCCCCAAGGCUAUAGCCCACCCGUUUUUGUGGGCUUUUUCCGCUGGACGAACUUGGCGCCCCGGCCUUCGGCCGGUUAUUUUUGGGCGUGGCUGUGACCGCGGCCUAUUUUUGGGACACGGAGAUGCCUCGCAAAGUAUCACGCCAAUCCGAGUCCGGCGGACGAAGUUGGCCAGCCCCACCCCCCAAGGCUAUAGCCCACCCGUUUUUGGGGCCUUUUUCCGCUGGACGAACUUGGCACCCCGGCCUUCGGCCGGUUAUUUUUGGGCGUGGCUGUGCCCGCGGCCUAUUUUUGGCACACGGAGUCGCCUCGCAAAGUUUCGCGCCAAUCCGAGUCCGGCGGACGAAGUUGGCCAGCCCCACCCCCCAAGGCUAUAGCCCACCCGUUUUUGGGGCCUUUUUCCGCUGGACGAACUUGGCACCCCGGCCUUCGGGCGGUUAUUUUUGGGUGUGGCUGUGCCCGCGGCCUAUUUUGGCACAUGGAGGCGCCUCGUAAAGUCUCGCG